rnacentral:miRNA from 1 species
GCACAGAUCUGCCUACUCUGCC